CUUCCGUUGAUGGAUGACAACAACGAGAUGAUGAUCAUCGCUUUCGACGCUGCAUAGAUGAUGGCUUCAGUCACGAUUUAAGAGAGCGACUCGAUCAUCCCUGCCAUCGGUCGACAGCCCGAGACCUUCGAUCAAAAGGAACUCCUCCUGAUUUCAACGGUCUCUUGGGACGCUGCGAUGAUUCGAGUUCCUUAGCGUGUGCUACCAUGGAGGACGGAGCCCACUUUGUGCUCCCGUGAGUGGGAAACCGCCAAUCAUGUCCCGAGACUGUGAGCCCAGAAAACUCGGACUCCACCAACGGUGACAGAUGCACGCGUGCGUUCCAGCGAGGUGUGAGCGGAGAAAGAAACGCAUCGUGAAGGCAACUCGGUGGAUCCUGGGAGGGACCAUCACAGGCACGUCGAUGUCACUCUGACGCAGUGCUGAGCCAACAAGUAAUGGCCACAGGUGAACUCUUCGAAGGCGACGACGUGGCAAACGACGGUGUGGGUCAUUGGUGGAUGUCUCGGAGCGCUGAGUGCUGAGCCAACCAGUGCUGGCCAGGUGAACUUUUCGACGGCGACGUCGUGGGCAACCUCGGUGAGGGUCACUGGGACGUCUCUGAGCCCAACUCAGGCCUCCAUCUAUAACGGGUUCUGUUCCCAAGAAAUCCUCAGCUACUCGAUGGCAUUUGGUACGCCAAAGGCCCGUUCGAUUUCGGCCGAGGCUGACCAAACUCGGCUUGUUCUUCUCGUCUCCUCUUCCUUGUCUCUAUCAUCAUCGUCAUCAUCAUCAUCAUCAUCUCUCUAUACGCAUAAGGGGGAGAAAGAAGGAUUAUACAUUUCUGAUUCCUAACCUUGAACCGAUUUGACAGGGAAAGAAGAUUGAACACGGAAGACCUCAUUGAUCUGUCAAAAUCUUAUCACAGUCCAAAUCUAACGUAGAUUGGAAACCACUGCGUAGACUAAACCUCCAUGUCAAAGCUAUUUCUUUAAAAUGCACAUCCGUGUACUAACUAGAUUGAGGAUUUGAUGUGAAAAUUUCUGGUGUCAUGCGGGAAAUUCUUGGGCAAGGCAAGUGGUGUUGGAUGGAGACAAGCUGUAGUGGUGGACUCCUUACGCCAUGGAACUAUUCUCAAUGGCAGCUUCAUGUGUCAAUUGUUGAGCUUUGCACGCUGUUCCUCCCACAGUUGGAUGAUGGUGACAUUCUAACGCGUCAGUCCUUUCAACUAUGUGACCUACCGGAAGACCAAGGCCACAAUCCAAACUAAAACCAUGCACGGAAGACCCACACAAGCCCCACCACUGUUUGCUUAAGGCCACUGGGGUAAAGAAUGAGUUGGUCAUCGUCUUCCUGGGCCAUUGAUUUGAUUGCUUGAACUAAAAAGCUAAACGCACACACUAUUUCUUGGAUGUGUUUUGCGUCUAGCAACAGUUCUCAUGCAUGCCGUGCUUGUGGGUCACUAAUUGGUGGACUUAUCAGAGGUUUGGAUUUGAUGCAUCGUUUGCCGCAUGGCAUCCACACUGCCAUUGGAAUAUUAACAUGCAACACAUCAAGCAUCAGAACUCUUGCUUCAAACUCUAGUGGAUUCUUUUGGAUCGGCCUGCAAUUGCCGGCUUUUGAUUUAUCUUUUACCCCUCUCGCAACAUCAUAG
rnacentral:lncRNA from 1 species